AGAGUUUGAUCAUGGCUCAGAACGAACGCUGGCGGCGUGCCUAACACAUGCAAGUCGAGCGCGAAUGGAGCAAUCCUAGUAGAGCGGCGCACGGGUGCGUAACACGUGGAUAAUCUGCCUGGGUGUCUGGGAUAACCAGUCGAAAGAUUGGCUAAUACCGGAUAAGCCCCCGGGAGCUUCGGCUCUUGAGGGAAAAGGUGGCCUCUGUAUACAAGCUAUCACAUCCAGAUGAGUCCGCGGCCCAUCAGCUAGUUGGCGGGGUAAUGGCCCACCAAGGCAACGACGGGUAGCUGGUCUGAGAGGACGAUCAGCCACACUGGAACUGAGACACGGUCCAGACUCCUACGGGAGGCAGCAGUGGGGAAUUUUGCGCAAUGGGCGAAAGCCUGACGCAGCAACGCCGCGUGUGUGAUGAAGGUCUUCGGAUUGUAAAGCACUUUCGACCGGGACGAAAACCCUGAAGCUAACAUCUUCAGGCUUGACGGUACCGGGAGAAGAAGCACCGGCUAACUCUGUGCCAGCAGCCGCGGUAAUACAGAGGGUGCAAGCGUUGUUCGGAAUUAUUGGGCGUAAAGCGCGUGUAGGCGGCUUUGCAAGUCGGGUGUGAAAGCCCUCAGCUCAACUGAGGAAGUGCGCCCGAAACUGCAGAGCUUGAGUGCCGGAGAGGGUGGCGGAAUUCCCCAAGUAGAGGUGAAAUUCGUAGAUAUGGGGAGGAACACCGGUGGCGAAGGCGGCCACCUGGACGGUAACUGACGCUGAGACGCGAAAGCGUGGGGAGCAAACAGGAUUAGAUACCCCGGUAGUCC
rnacentral:rRNA from 1 species